CUGCUCACCUUGGCAGCACAUAUACGAAAACUGAGAUAAUACAUAGAUUAAGUAUGGCCCCUGUACAAUUAUGACACACACAUUUGUGAAGCAUUGCUUAUUUUC